CUCGGAGCCCACGCGGGCCCGCUCCCCUCCUCCCACUUUGUACUUCUGAAGCGAGCAAGAAGGAAGUGUGAACCCCACCAUGUAGGAGCGAGAGGGGGGACAGGCCUGGGGCUCUGUCCGAGCCAAGGCGAACACCUUUUCUGCAGCCCCAAUUAGCGCCCGGCGGAUUAGCACCUUCUUAAGCUCUGCCUGGAAGCAGCCGAGGUCUUUCGCCGUCCACCCCCACCCGCCGCGGACUGGGAGUCAGGGCUCCCCGCCCCCACGCGCCCCACCCCCGCCCGCCCCGAGAAAAGUUUUCACCGAAAACCCGAGGCUGCCAGAGCCGGAGUGGAAGCCACUGACGUCACUGGCGGGCUAGGGCACGGAGGGCGCCUGGAGACUCGGAUGGCGACCGAGGAUGUGGCUGCUUCCAAGCAGAGGCGCGGCGCCAGCUGCUGAAGUGGGAAGAGGGCAUGUUUCUGUCGGAGGGGUCUGGACAGACGCCUGCGUCCCUUUACGCAGCCCUGGGGAGGUGAGUUCCCCAUGGGCGGCAGCCACACGCGGAUCCCGGGACCCGAAGCUGAAGGCCUCUCGCCCCGCCCAGGGCCAGGGCCUCCUCUGCCCGAGCCCCUCACACCCUUCUUUCGCCUUCACCCUGCUCAGCUCCUGAUCAUCCUCGCCAAGCUCAGAGGCCUCCAAGCGCGGCCAAGCUUGGCUGGCGAAGCCGUGGCGCCCCGGCCCUUUCUCGCCUCUGCACCGGCUGUGCUCCGAGCUGCCUCCCUUCCAAGGACACUGGGCAGCCGGCUUCCUUCUGCUUCUGCCCCCCUCCCCCCGCUUAGAAACGGUACUUUCCGUUGGGUCCCCCAGAGCAGCCCAGGGUCUAACUCCCAACGCCCCGCGGCCCCAUGUUAAAGCUCCUGCGGUGAGCGGGCCUUGCGCGCAGCGCCCUGGCAGUCUUGCAAACAGGAUUCCUGGGAAAGUUUGCUCGGACUCCGUCAGCCCAGGACAGACCCCCCCCCCCACCUCUGCUGCUCUCGACCUCUGCCCCCAGAGGCAGGAGUUGGGCUUCCUGGGAGCAGCAAGCCAACGCCACGGCCCCUCCUCCCUCCACAGCUGCCGGUCCCGAGGGCGCAGGACCCAGCCCCAGGCUGUGCUCCCGGAGCCGGGGGAGGAGAGCGAACCUCAGGGCUGGCUCUCCACAGCCGCCGGAGCUGAGUGCAUCCCGAUCGGCUUUUAGGAUGGCAUUGACUGGGACAAGCUGUUCCCAGCCCCGUAAGCGUUAAUCUGCCUGUUAAUCAAAGCACUGAGGGGCUCAAUGAGGGUUUUAUUAGCGACCGGAGAGCAGAGGCAGCAGCCAGGGAUCAAAAGCCAGGGUCCCAGGUACUUUGUCAGCAAGGCACUCAAAAAAAUUGUAUUUUCAAUUAGAGAACAAUUCGGGGCUUUUCAUCAUCUCCUAACCAGGUCUCACAGAUGCUGACUUCCAGACUGUGCGCAGGGGAGAACCAAAUGCCCGGGGGCGGACCGGGGCGGCCGAGGGGCCCUGACGCCUCCCGACGCAGUCGAAAGGGAAGCCGCGAGCCACACCGCCAAUGUGGGCUUCAGACCCUGGGUCGCCCGCGCCACUGCCGGGCUGCCGGAAGUUUACGGAGCCGGAGCCGAGAGACUCCCACGCGCCUCCUCUGCCCUGGAGGGAGGCUGGGUCCCCUCCAGGGUGCCUCUCAAACCCUAAAACAAAUACAUAAAAGCCCAGGCCUUGGGGACUUUUGAACAGCAAUUGCUCCAAUAAUCCAAAUUGUACGAGAACUCCAGGGAAAAGAGCCAACCCAGCCACACCCGCCCUGCGAUCGCGAGGGCAGCGGCGAGGCCACCGCGAGGACUCGGUCAGAGGCGAUUAUGUCACCGCGUUUUCUCGCCGUGACAGCCGAAUAAACACGAUCUCCAAUAAACAUCUCUAAUGAGGGAGGAGGCCCGAGGACGGCUGGGUUUGAUUUAUGACUGGAGAAGGUCCUCUGCCCACAGCGAGGCGGGCAGCCUGCUCUCCGCUCAGCUCGAGGAGAGAUCCGCGUGGGACCCAGCCCAGGAGACAAGACAGUAACAGGACUUCUCCCCGAGAAAAGAAAGGACCCCACUGGCUGCCUGUUGUGGACGUGGAGAACCAGGCUGUGUCCACCUGCUGAGACCUCAGGCCAAGCCACUGUGACAAAGGGCUGGGCUCAAACUCAAGACCUCAUGCAUGCUGGACAAACUCUACCACUGAGCUACACUCCAGACUCUUCAGUUCGCCUCUUCGAUACUUGGCUAUGCAACUGCUUUUGACCAGCAGAAUGAGGAGGCACAUGUGACUAGGCGCCAGUGUGCAGCUUGGGUCUAGCGACUCUGCAGGGUUCCACUUGCUCUUGUGUGGUCACCAAGGGAAGAAGAUGAAAAAACAACUGGUGCUUGAAGUGGAGUCACGUGUCCACCAGCACGCAGCGUGGCGCUAGGACUUGAACCCACGGCCUCCUGAUGUCCAGAUUCAAAGACAGCCAAAGCCAACAUUCAAAGAAAGACCUGGGUGAAACUAGCAGGAAGAGAACGAACCGCGAGCGCGCAGUUGCCACAGAAAUGCAGCCUAAGGGAUCACCUGACCCUGCCGUCCACCGGGGCUCAGCUGGGCCCGGCUGGG
ensembl:lncRNA